GUGCUUGCUUUAGCAGCACAUAUGCUAAAAUUGGAACAGUGCAGAAAAGAGUAGCAUGGCCCCUGUGCAAGGAUGACACAAAAAUUCAUGAAGCAUUUGAUAUUUAA